GGGGCUGUAGCUCAGUUGGACAGAGCAGCGACCUUCUAAGUCGACGGUCGGCGGUUCGAGUCCGCCCAGCCCCGCCA
rnacentral:tRNA from 1 species